GAUGAACGUUGGCGGCGUGCCUAAUACAUGCAAGUCGAACGAAGACUGUAGUAAUACUGUCUUAGUGGCGAACGGGUGAGUAACGCGUGGGUGACCUGCCCCGAAGUGUGGGAUAACAGUUCGAAAGGAUUGCUAAUACUGCAUAAUAUCCAAGAGAUUAGACGCUUUUGGAUUAAAGGAGUAAUUCGCUUCGGGAGGGGCCCGCGUCCCAUCAGCUAGUUGGUAAGGUAAUGGCUUACCAAGGCGAUGACGGGUAGGGGACCUGAGAGGGUGGCCCCCCACAAUGGAACUGAAACACGGUCCAUACACCUACGGGUGGCAGCAGUAGGGAAUAUUAGUAAUGGGCGAAAGCCUGAACUAGCAACGCCGCGUGUGCGAAGAAGGCCUUCGGGUUGUAAAGCACUUUUUGAGAGGAUGAGGAAGGACGGUACUCUCAGAAUAAGUCUCGGCUAACUACGUGCCAGCAGCCGCGGUAACACGUAGGAGGCAAACGUUAUCCGGAUUUACUGGGCGUAAAGCGCGUGUAGGUGGUUUGGUAAGUAGGGCGUGAAAGCUCCUGGCUCAACUGGGAGAGGACGUUCUAAACUGCCAAGCUUGAGGAUGGUAGAGGGAGGUGGAAUUCCGGGUGUAGCGGUGGAAUGCGCAGAUAUCCGGAGGAACACCAGUGGCGAAGGCGGCCUCCUGGACCACUCCUGACACUCAGACGCGAAAGCUAGGGUAGCAAACGGGAUUAGAGACCCCGGUAGUCCUAGCCCUAAACGAUGUAGACUUGGCGUCGGUGGUUUAAUCGCCAUCGGUGUCGUAGCUAACGCGUUAAGUCUACCGCCUGGGGACUACGGCCGCAAGGUUAAAACUCAAAGGAAUUGACGGGUCCCCGCACAAGCAGCGGAGCGUGUGGUUUAAUUCGAUGCUACACGAAGAACCUUACCUGGGUUUGACAUAGAGGUAGUAGGGAAGCGAAAGCGGACCGACCCUUCGGGGAGCCUCUACAGGUGUUGCAUGGCUGUCGUCAGCUCGUGUCGUGAGAUGUUGGGUUAAGUCCCGCAACGAGCGCAACCCCUACUCUUAGUUGCCAUCAGGUUAUGCUGGGCACUCUAAGAGGACUGCCGAGGACAACUCGGAGGAAGGUGGGGAUGACGUCAAGUCAGUAUGUCCCUUACGUCCAGGGCUACACACGUGUUACAAUGGCCAGUACAACGGGUUGCUAAGUCGUAAGGCGGAGCUAAUCCCUUAAAACUGGCCUCAGUUCGGAUUGGAGUCUGCAACUCGACUCCAUGAAGUCGGAAUCGCUAGUAAUCACGGAUCAGAAUGCCGUGGUGAAUACGUUCCCGGGCCU
rnacentral:rRNA from 1 species